ACCCUGCACCACCUGUUCCUGGAAGCUUAAGAGUCACCCUCUGUCUUGGGCUUUUUAGGAGAAACUUGCAUGACAGAUUUACUCUGAAGAGGAUGUCCAGUACUGUGAGUACAUAAACAGACCAAAAAGGAAAGAAGCCACAAAAAUAGGAGAUAGAAGCCAAACCUCUGUCUUCAACCUCUAGAAGAACAAAAGAAUGAUCUGGGAACACAUUAGAAAUGCAGAUUCUCAGGCCUCGUGCUAGAUCUACAGAAUCCAAAUUUGGAGAUGGAGUUCAACAUGGUCUGUAUCAAGCACUCCAGG